rnacentral:rRNA from 1 species
UAGUCCACGCUGUAAACGAUGAGAACUAGAUGUCGGAAGGAUUUGCCUUUCGGUGUCGCAGCUAACGCAUUAAGUUCUCCGCCUGGGGAGUACGCCGGCAACGGUAAAACUCAAAGGAAUUGACGGGGACCCGCACAAGCGGUGGAGCAUGUGGUUUAAUUCGAUGCAACGCGAAGAACCUUACCUGCCCUUGACAUCCUCAGAACUUGUUAGAGAUAACUUGGUGCCUUCGGGAAUUGAGUGACAGGUGCUGCAUGGCUGUCGUCAGCCCGUGUCGUGAGAUGUUGGGUUAAGUCCCGCAACGAGCGCAACCCUUGUCCUUAGUUGCCAGCACGUAAUGGUGGGAACUCUAAGGAGACCGCCGGUGACAAACCGGGAGGAAGGUGGGGACGACGUCAAGUCAUCAUGGCCCUUAUGGGGCAGGGGCUACACACGUGCUACAAUGGGUCGGUACAGAGGGGUUGCAAACCCGCAAGGGGGGAGCUAAUCCCACAAAGCCGGGUCGUAGUCCGGGAUCGGGAGUCUGCAACUC